UGAUCAUCUCCCCUGUUUGAAGAUGCCGAGACUUGUCCAGGCCCUGCACUGUGGGAUCAUCUAGGAUAAAGCACACAGUUCAGAAGAUCCCACCACCUGAGCGGAUGACCUCUGCACUUCUUCCAGAGAUACCGUAGGGCUCUUGGCUGCAUCUUUCAUGCUCCUCAUUUCACCUGUUGGUUCAGGUUUACAGCCAUGUCUUCAUAGGUUUGUGUUUGUGCAAUACUCUAAACAGUGCCUCAUGUGAUGCUGAGAGUUUUGGAUGUUAUUUUUGUAGCCUAUCCCUGUUUUACACUUAUCCACAGGCUCAUCAGUAUAUAAAAUAUUGUAUAUGGUUGGAAAAUUCCACAUAUAUCUGACUAAGUGAA